GAUGAACGCUGGCGGCGUGCCUAAUACAUGCAAGUCGAGCGAACAGACGAUGCGCUUGCUCCUCUGACGUUAGCGGCAGACGUGUGAGUAACACGUGGAUCACCUACCUAUAAGACUGGGAUCACUUCGGGACACCGGAGCUAAUACCGGAUAAUAUAUUGAACCGCAUGGUUCAAUAGUGAAAGACGGUUUUGCUGUCUCUUAUAGAUGGAUCCGCGCCGCAUUAGCUAGUUGGUAAGGUAACGGCUUACCAAGGCGACGAUGCGUAGCCGACCUGAGAGGGUGAUCGGCCACACUGGAACUGAGACACGGUCCAGACUCCUACGGGAGGCAGCAGUAGGGAAUCUUACGCAAUGGGCGAAAGCAUGACGGAGCAACGCCGCGUGAGUGAUGAAGGUCUUCGGAUCGUAAAACUCUGUUAUUAGGGAAGAACAAAUGUGUAAGUAAAUAUGCACGUCUUGACGGUACCUAAUCAGAAAGCCACGGCUAACUACGUG
rnacentral:rRNA from 1 species